AGAGAUUCUUUCUCACUUACCUGUUUUUCUGUUAGAAUGACUCUCCCUAGAAGCUGGUCUUCUAGACCCUUCAUAGUGACAGUAAAAUCGAUAAUGGAGAUCUUGCCUUGAGUCUGCGGGUCAAUCAGCAAAGGAUAACGAGCUGCUUUUGUGACUAUGAUGCCAUUUUGUAUAGACAGGUCGUCAUUUGGCAACCCUUGAAGGUUCCAUUCGCUGACCGUGGGAGCAUCUAUCAACAUCUCUGAAUUCUAGGUCCAGAAAUACCAAAGGAGCAGUAGAGACUGUUUAUGUACUCUGCGACAGUUGCAUGGAUGCUCCUUGCCCAAAGAUGGAAGAAAGAUAAAGUACCUACAAGAGAAGAUUGGCUGCUAAAGAUGAUGGGCUACGCCGACAUGGCGAAAAGGACUGGGAAGAUCAGAGAUCAAGAAGAGAACAAAUUUAACGAAGAAUGGAGAAAAUUCGCAGAACUUCCUUGUUGAUUGCAAAGAAAGCAGCCAUCGCUUUGGUCCAUGAGCAAAUGCCAGCCACGUUUCCACAAACCCUCCUAGCUGUCUCAAUAUUGUAGUCUGACAUUUCAAAGUAAGGGCUCAAGAGCUCCACUACUUCUUCGUUUAUUGUAUCUUUUGGAAAUUGCUAGAGAUAUCACGGGAAAGAUAGUUUAGCUCCACUGACUCGCCCAAAAUGAAGUGUACUUUCACCAUCCUAAAUUAAUCUCGAAGCGUGCUCACACUAAGAAAGGCAAACAGUAACAGAGAUGCAAACCUUAGGUGACUCCCUAUUGACUUUAGAAUAGUAUCUCAAGGGUCACUAAAGGCUAUUUUAAAAGCUGCGCCAAAUAUGCCUCAUUCAUCAUAUCAUCAUCUUG